rnacentral:lncRNA from 1 species
GGUAGUCGGUGAGGUGGGGGAGCCGCUGAGCCUCACCGGCGCGAACGAGAAGGUGUCGAGCGACUGAUCUGCUGCUGCUGCUGUUCUGCUGGCGACUCUGCGUUGGAAGAAGUGACGAGGUUGGUGGCUUCCGGGCAUGACACAGCCAUUUUCGACGACGGCGGCGGGCUGAUCGGAGCGGUUGCGGAGGCGAGAAGUUUGGAGGGGAGGGAGGGAGUUGGAGAGAGGUUCGUGGAGUUUUCGAGAAGCUUUCGGAGGUCGACACGUUGAUGAGUUACGUGGUGAUGUGAUGUCGAAUGAGGAUCUAGGGAAGUUCUCGAAACCACGUGCCUGGUUUGUUCUCGUUUGGGAGCACCAUAUGGAGAAACUACGGGCUCACAAGGUUUUGUGUUUUUCUUGAUUUUGAC